UGACGAGGAUUAUAAAAUACCCGCGCUUCUGAAAGCUCGCGCUUUGUGAAGUAAAUUGGUAUUGGUUGAAUUUCUUCGUAUGAGUCU
rfam:Marchantia polymorpha subsp. polymorpha scaffold4510, whole genome shotgun sequence.